rnacentral:rRNA from 1 species
GCUAGUUGCUGACGACCGGCGCACGGGUGCGUAACGCGUAUAGAAUCUACCUUAUACUGGGGGAUAGCCUUUGGAAACGAAGAUUAAUACCCCAUAGUAUGUAUUAAUGGCAUCAUUUUUACAUUAAAGUUUCGGCGGUAUAAGAUGACUAUGCGUUCUAUUAGUUUGUUGGUAAGGUAACGGCUUACCAAGACUACGAUAGAUAGGGGUCCUGAGAGGGAGAUCCCCCACACUGGUACUGAGACACGGACCAGACUCCUACGGGAGGCAGCAGUGAGGAAUAUUGGACAAUGGAGGCAACUCUGAUCCAGCCAUGCCGCGUGUAGGAAGACUGCCCUAUGGGUUGUAAACUACUUUUAUAUGGGAAGAAUAAGGUCUACGUGUAGACUGAUGACGGUACCAUAAGAAUAAGCACCGGCUAACUCCGUGCCAGCAGCCGCGGUAAUACGGAGGGUGCAAGCGUUAUCCGGAAUCAUUGGGUUUAAAGGGUCCGUAGGCGGGCAUAUAAGUCAGUGGUGAAAGUCUGUGGCUCAACCAUAGAAUUGCCAUUGAUACUGUAUGUCUUGAAUUAUUGUGAAGUGGUUAGAAUAUGUAGUGUA